UACGGAGGGGGCUAGCGUUGUCCGAAGUUACUGGGCGUAAAGCGCGCGUAGGCGGGUUGGUAAGUCCGCUGUGAAAGCCCGGAGCUCAACUCCGGAGGGUCGGUGGAUACUGCCAGUCUUGAAGGUGCUAGGGGGAGAUGGAAUUACCGGUGUAGCGGUGAAAUGCGUAGAUAUCGGUAGGAACACCAGUGGCGAAGGCGACUCUUUGGUCUGUAACUGACGCUGAGGCGCGAAAGCGUGGGGAGCAAACAGG
rnacentral:rRNA from 1 species